rnacentral:rRNA from 1 species
UAGUCCAUGCCGUAAACGAUGGAUACCAGCUGUUUGAUCUCUCGACAGAUCAAGUGGUGCAGCUAACGCGAUGAGUAUCCCGCCUGGGGAGUACGGUCGCAAGACUAAAACUCAAAGGAAUUGACGGGGGCCCGCACAAGCGGUGGAGCACGUGGUUUAAUUCGACGCAACGCGAAGAACCUUACCUGGCCUUGACAUGUUGGGAACUUUCCAGAGAUGGAUUGGUGCCUUCGGGAACCCAAACACAGGUGCUGCAUGGCCGUCGUCAGCUCGUGUCGUGUAGAUGUUGGGUUAAGUCCCGUUAACGAGCGCAACCCUUAUCCCUAGUUGCCAGCACAUCAUGGUGGGAACUCUAGGGAGACUGCCGGUGACAAACCGGAGGAACGGUGGGGAUGACGUCAGGUCAGUCAUGGCCCUUACGGCCAGGGCUACACACGUGCUACAAUGGCGCGCACAGAGGGCUGCAAACCCGCAGGGGGAGCCAAUCUCACAAAACGCGUCGUAGUCCGGA